UUUUAGACCAUGGAGCUGGUGUUAAACUAGAGUAGACCUGUACCAGCUUGAACACUGGUUGGUCAUUUGAGGCAACAGGUGGGUUCAGCUUUGCUGUGUUCUUGGACCAGAGCCUCCCUGUGAAUGUUCCAUUAUAUUUUUUCCUCCAAUAAGGUGAGGAAGAAAGCAACACAACCAUUCAUACACAGGAGAGGCUGCCUCCUACUUCAGGGCCAUAUUGUAUUGGACAAGUCACACAGCUAGAGUGAAAGCAAGAAUGGAAGGCUAUCAUCAGGAAAACAGACAGCAACUGCUGGCAACUUUGCACUGUAGGUGACUUCUCAAGUGGAGAGAGCCACUAUGGAAGUCAGUACAAGUGUGCCUCAAAACAUUAAAAAUGGAAUGCCCACAUACGUUGCUGUGCUUCUCGUGAGCACAUACCCAAAGGACUGAGUCAGCACAGCCCAGUGGUCCCUGGAUACCGAUGUUCACUGCCUCACUAUCGACAGUAGCCAAACAGUCUACGUGUCCACCAACAGGGAGCAAAGUAUUGGACUUCCUGUUUACUUUCUCGGCUCUUCUGAAAGCCUAUUAAUCAGGAUGGAGGGUGAUCAAUAGAAUCCAAAGUAGGAUGCUCUACACCCCCAUCAGAUCACCAUAAAUAGACACACAUUGCAAUUAUCAUCAGAAGGAUUUGUUACAUCUGAGAGUGGAUGAAGAAGGGAGAGACUGAGCAUCAGAAUUAAAUCCCCCUAGGUCAU
rnacentral:lncRNA from 1 species